rnacentral:rRNA from 1 species
UACGUAGGGUGCGAGCGUUAAUCGGAAUUACUGGGCGUAAAGUGUGCGCAGGCGGCAGAGCAAGUCGAGUGUGAAAGCCCCGGGCUUAACUUGGGAAUUGCGCUCGAAACUACUUUGCUGGAGUGUGGCAGAGGAAGGUGGAAUUCCACGUGUAGCGGUGAAAUUCGUAGAUAUUGGGAAGAACACCGGUGGCGAAGGCGGCGACCUGGUCCUUGACUGACGCUGAGGCGCGAAAGCGUGGGGAGCAAACAGG